CAAGCUAUGGAUCCUGUCGUUGCUUGAACUCGUCAGCCGCCUACCUUUCUAUCAUCGGGGCCGCCGCGCGAACCCGUCACCGCACAGCAGCCAUGGCUUCCCAGCCGCCGGCGGCGCCGCCGUCCGCUCCCACCUCGAUAACCGCUCUCGGCGACGACCUCGUCCGCCAGAUCUUCCUCCGCCUCCCCGCCCUCCCGAGCCUCGUCCGGGCCGCCUUCGCCUGCCGCGCUUUCCUCCGCGCCGUCCGCUCGUCCCCGGCCUUCAGCCGCAGCUUCCGCGCGCUCCACGCGCCGCCCCUCCUCGCGCUCUUCCUCGACCCCAACUACGAGGUGCUCCCGGCCUCCCCCUGCCCCUGGCGCCGCUCCGACCCGGACCUCGUCGCCGCCGAUUUCUUCAACACCCGGGUCCCGCGCCACGGCGACGCCCGCACCCCCGGCUGGGAGAUCAGUUCCAAGUCUCCUAGCGGCGACGGCUACUUGUGGCUCGUCAGCUGGGGCGGCAGCGCCGAGCGGAGCCGGGCUGCCGCCCACAACCCGCUGACGCAGGCUCUGGAUCUCAACAUCUAUCGGCCGGGGUUACGCUACAUCGACAUCGACCUUGGGUUCUAUACUAUCCCCUCCGCAUAUCGUCAGGGGCCGUCCCGUGUGGUGUGUAUCUGUCACCACCGCCAAUGGCGGGAGCGUGUCGCUGUCUUCUCGUCGGACACCAUGGAGUGGCAAAUUCUCCCAGCUAGUACGCUGCUGGGGCUGCGUGAAUCUCUCACGGCCGAGAUUGGCACGAUGACGCAUGGACUCAUCUGGUGGCAAAACUGGAUGUAUGACCAAAUUGUGGUGCUCGACACGGCGACUUUUCAGUUCUCUCUAAUUGAUGUGCCGAAGCAAUUGGAGACAGAGUGUGAUGAAUCAACAUAUAAGCUUGGCGAGACCAAAGAUGAGAAGCUCUGCAUCGUGGAUAUAAAGGAUGGCGCACUUCUUUCUUGGUUCCUGACAUCCGACGAUGACAUUGCCGUCAGGAGGUGGAUAAUGUACAAGGAGUUCCCAUUGAACCCGAUUGUUAAGGAGUUCACCGGGUUCUCGAUGGAGGAAGAGGGUUGUAAUGCCAGGGUGGAGCUUGUGGAGGUCAUCGAUGGCUUUGUAUACCUGUCUAUUUUCUAUGUCAAGGACACACAGUCUCGUGAGUUGUACCUAUCAUUAUGCCUGGAAACAUCGGAAAUGAGCGAGCUCUUUCAUGAUGCAUAUCGUGAUAAUGUGGAGGUCCAUCCUUAUGUUAUGGCAUGGCCUCCCUCUUUGUUGCCAAGCAAGGAGGAUUCAGAAACUGAAGUUACUGGAGACAGUGUUGCAGAUGAUGGUCCCGUGGGCACAGAAGAAACUUCCUCUAUCCUUGUCACUGCACUGCAGUCACUCAGCCAAACUCUGAUGGAUGGCAGUGACAGUAACAAAGAAUUAGUGGUGGAGUUAGAUGACUUCUUGCUUGACAGUACUAAUGAAACAGCGAUGGAGUUAGCUGCCUUUUUGCGUCCUACUGAGGAUGACAAGGACUCUCUUAUGAGCAAAAUCAUUACUUUGGAUGCACAAUUGAUGACCGCAAGAGACCGUAUCUUGAGGAUAAGUGUGUGACUCUGAGAUUGACACACCAAGUACAGAAAGAGAAACCUGAUGAUGAAUUGAUGAUAAGUUUACAGGGGGCAGAUGUCAAGAGCUUGCUACCACUUCUUUGCCGGUUGAAGUAUUGUAAGUGAUCAUGGUGUGUAUGUGUGUAUAUGCGUUUAAUCUGAUGAUACAAUCUUUUGUUGAAAUGCCUUGGUGCUUCAGGUUUUUGGAUGAUGUGAAGGGAGUGUAUGUGUGCGUAUUGUAUACUAGUGGCAGACUUAAUAUUGUAUUAUUGGCUCAAGCUCCGCUGCUGGAUACAACACUAAGUUAUACAUAUCUUACAGGGUCAUGGUUCAUGUUUACUUCGAGAUCUGUGUGCAAAUAUGACUAGCUCUGAAUUGGCGCAAGCUCAUUGUACCUUCUAUUCCUCAAACCACUCAGUCUUGAUAUGGAAUGGACAUUCAAACCUUCCUACACAUUUCUACAUUAUGGGCCUGGAUGGCUUCUGAGCGGUUGAAUGGUGUGCCACUUAUAUACUCCCUCCGCUCGGAAUUACUUGUCUCGGAAAUGGAUGUAUCUAGACGUAUUUUAGUUCUAGAUACAUCCAUUUUCGCGACAAGUAAUUCCGAACGGAGGGAGUUAAGCUAUGAUGGUUUGGUCAGACCACUGCAUCCUGAUGACAAUUACUCAAUUAUGUCAACUGAACUUGCAUGCCACAUUCAUCAUGCCAGGUUGCCUAAUACUCCCUCCGUUCCCAAAUAUUUGUCUUUCUAGAGAUUUCAACAAGUGACUACAUACGGAACAAAAUGAGUGAAUCUACACUCUACAUUAUGUCUACAUACAUCCGUAUGUUGUGUCCAUUUGAAAUGCCUAGAAAGACAAAUAUUUGGGAACGGAGGGAGUAGUUGAGUACCUUGAUUACUUUCAAAGUAUUAAUUCCAGUAUUAUGCCUCGGUAACGUGGCAGAUUUUCAAGCAGCUUAAUCUUGAGGUUUUUGUUUGCGUAUGCAACUUAAGCUAUAAUAAUAAUAAUUAUUAUUUUUCUCCCUAGGAAAGAGUUUGUUCUUCCAACUCAUCUUAAUAAUGCAUAAAUACAUAACAUGUUUUGGAUAUUUCAAUAUGGACUAUGUACGGACUGAAAGGAAUGAACAAACACACUAAAACGUGUCUAUAUACACCUGAUUUGGAAAAAAGUUAGAACAUCUUAUAUUUGUGAACGGAGGGGGUACCAUUGUAACCCCUGAACUAAUGUUGCCUGUGAUAUAUAAUUUCAAUAACCCUGUCAGAUCGGAUCUCAAUUCUACUAGCCUUGUCAGAUGCAUUUCAAUUCUAUCAGCUAUGUUGUGAUUUGUUCUAUCAUCGAAUUAUCUGCCUUCUGCAACUUACAAACAUACUCACCAGGUCGUAUGCGUCGGACUAUAGUGCCAGUCUGUUGGGUUUCCAUGUCAAUAAAAAAUAAAGUUAAUUUGACAGGGGAAAUAUUCAAGGAAAUGUUACUCUGGUAUGGUGAUUCGAUCGCCAGGAUCUUAGCUUCUUUGCAAUCUUACGCUUAUUUUGGGAACAUCCAGCCGUUAAGGUCACCGAGAAUUCCUCCAAAGCUGCAGCCUUUGAAAGCAGAAACUUUGCAAGCAUCUUUUGGAGUUGCAGCCCUGUGUACAUCCCAAUGUUGAUUCUUCUCAGCUUAUCAUCCAAGCAGUUGAUGGGCGUUGGC